rnacentral:rRNA from 1 species
CCUACGGGUGGCAGCAGUGAGGAAUAUUGGUCAAUGGCCGGAAGGCUGAACCAGCCAUGCCGCGUGCAGGUCAGUGCCCUAUGGGCGUUAAACUUCUUUUGUGCGGGAGCAAUAAUGGUCACGUUUGGCCAGACGAGAGUACCGUACGAAUAAGCAUCGGCUAACUCCGUGCCCGCAGCCGCGGUAAUCCGGGGGAUGCAGGCGUUAUCCGGAUUUAAUGGGUUUAAAGGGUUCGUAGGCUGGGAGGUAAGUCAUCGGUGAAAUGCCCCCGCUCAACGGGGUGAAGUGCCAUUGAUACUGCCUUGCUGGAAUGCGGAUGCCGUGGGAGGAAUGUGUGGUGUAGCGGUGAAAUGCAUAGAUAUCACACAGAACACCGAUUGCGAAGGCAUCUCACGAAUCCGCGAUUGACGCUGAUGCACGAAAGCGUGGGUAUCAAACAGGAGUAGAUACCCCUGUAGUC